GAUGAACGCUGGCGGCGUGCCUAAUACAUGCAAGUCGAGCGAACAGACGAGGAGCUUGCUCCUCUGACGUUAGCGGCGGACGGGUGAGUAACACGUGGAUAACCGACCUAUAAGACUGGGAUAACUUCGGGAAACCGGAGCUAAUACCGGAUAAUAUAUUGAACCGCAUGGUCCAAUAGUGAAAGACGGUUUUGCUGUCACUUAUAGAUGGAUCCGCGCCGCAUUAGCUAGUUGGUAAGGUAACGGCCUACCAAGGCAACGAUGCGUAGCCGACCUGAGAGGAGGAGCAGUCACACUGGAACUGAGACACGGGCCAGACUACUACGGGAGGCAGCAGUGGGGAAUAUUGGACAAUGGGCGAAAGCCUGAACCAGCCAUGCCGCGUGAGUGAAGAAGGUCUUCGGAUUGUAAAGCACUUUAAGUAGGGAGGAAGAGCAGUAAGGUAAUACCUUGAUGUUUUGACGUUACCAACAGAAAAAGCACCGGCUAGCUUCGUG
rnacentral:rRNA from 1 species